rnacentral:lncRNA from 1 species
CCAACAGAAAAUUUCUGUCCGGACUUCUACAGCAGAUGACUUCCAUCUACAGCAUCAACGUCUAAGGCACCCAACAACAGUUAACCCAUCAGCAACCUCAGAAACAUCCGAGCUUCUCUUAAAUUGCUGAGAUAGAGAGAUAUUCCGCUCCACCAGACGUCCCAACUGAGCUUCAGCCGUCCGGCCCGAACUCCCCAGCA